UUAACCACUUUGUAUAUUUUCUGUUUUUCAAGUAACUAACAAGAGUUUAGGUUUGGGAUCAACUGUUGGCUUAAAUUAGUUUUGGAUGGGUCUGACAUGCGCUUUAUACCUUGAAACGUUUGAAUAUGGUAUAGGAUAAUUGGAUAUGUCAAAACAUUGAACUUUGGUACACCUAGAAGCAUUUAAAUCAGAGUUAUAAUCUUCUUUCAUUGUAGACACAUGGUGGAGGUGGACAGACACCCUUUGACUCUUGAGCAAAUUAACACAAUAAUAUACUAACUAAUAGGGUACAAUCCAUGGUGGCCACCUACCUAAGAGUUAAUUUUGUAUGAGUUUUCUUAACACCCAAAUGUUGUAGGGUUAGUCAGGUUGUCUCGUGAGAUUAGUCAAAGUGCACGUAAACCAAAUGUUGUAGGGUUAGUCAGGUUGUCUCGUGAGAUUAGUCAAAGUGCACGUAAGCUGGUUCGAAUACUCGUAGAUAUUAAGAAA